GAGAGUAUAGCAUAAUGGUUAAUGCCCUUUACUCAUGAUAAAGCCUAUGGUAGUUCGAAUCUUCCUGCUCUUA
rnacentral:tRNA from 1 species